rnacentral:rRNA from 1 species
AUGAAUGUCUUGAGCUGGAACUGCCGAGGGCUUGGGAACCCUUGGACAGUCCAUGAGCUUCGCAAGGUUGUGAAGCAGGAAGGCCCCGUUUUGCUGUUUGUCAUGGAAACAAAGAUAGACAGUAAGAGAGUUGAGAAUUUGAAGUUCACUUUAGGUUUCUCAGGUUGUUUUGCCGUCGAUAGUGUCGGUCUUAGUGGUGGUAUUGGAUUAUUUUGGUCCAAGGAUGUCGAUGUUACACUUGGAAACUAUAGUUCGUCUCAUAUUGAUGUAACAAUCACGCAAGAUAGUAAAAGGUGGAGGUUUACGGGUUUGUACGGGGAGCCCGGACGGAGAAUCGUCACCACACAUGGCGAUUUAUGCAUACUUUGUCUGCCAUUCAGCAUGAAGGAUGGAUGUGCAUGGGUGAUUUUAAUGAAACUCUGCAUGCUGAUGAGCAGUUUGGGGCCAACACGAGACCGGAGAGUCAAAUGA